AUGUUCAUCCUCUCAUACAUAUCCGAUUUGGGGUCCAUUUGUAAACCUACGGACAGUACCGGACGGGCCACUCUAGUCCGCCCAAACAGAUGGUUGCAGCCUCGAGAUAUGCUCUACAAGAUAAACGUUGAUGCAUCGGUGGCCGGGAACAGACGAGGAGGGGCUAUAGCUGCUAUAUGCCGUGACCAUGAGGGUAUUUUCCAGGGGGCUUCAUCUCUGGUUAUCAGAGGGGUCUAUGAUCCCCCAACUCUGGAAGUUUUGGCUAUCAGGGAGGCGCUAGCCCUAGCUGAUGAUUUGAAUCUGCAAAGGAUACAUGUUGCAUCUGACUGCAAGGUGCCAGUGGACGACAUCAAGAAGAGGAACAUGGCGAGCUACGGAGCCAUUAUAAAUGAAAUUAUCGAUCACAGCAGUACGCUUUUGGUUUGUAGCUUUGUCCAUGAAUUUAGGAGCUCGAAUUUCGAAGCUCACGAUCUAGCGAAGCGAGGUUUGAAUUUAGGGGUGGGCCGCCAUGUUUGGUUAGGCCACCCCGGUGAUCUUUGUUUUGUACCUGUAAACAUUAUGACCAUUUGA
rnacentral:rRNA from 1 species